UAUCGUUGCCAAUAGAAUGCUACCCACAUUGCGUUGAAGGUCUCCAAGCAGCAUGUUUUAUAACUAACAACAAUCAAUGUCAGUGCGACUGCGUGACCGCAAAUUGUAACGCCUGCGCCAUUGUGCGAGAGAAACACCGGUGUCCCGGAAAUGAGAUUCACCUUUGCAAUAAUAGGGAUGGGCUGUGCGAGUGCGGAUGUGUGCCUCUGGGAUUAUGGUGACAGCAGACGCUGACGACAAAACAGGUUGUGCAGGCUGUGCUUAGGCGGC
rnacentral:lncRNA from 1 species